GAUGGGCGUGUUAAGGGAGCAGGAACAGUUGAGAAAGAUCAGCCUUGCGGCAGCAUUCACUACACAUUAUGGCGGGGCAGUAUGGCUUCUGGGGUGACCAACAAGGAGAGAUUACAAGAGCACGAAAAAGCUCCUUAACAACAUCUUGAGUAAGAAAGGGCCGGAUGCGGGCAAUGCUUUUAAGUUGGAAUCAACAGAUUUUAGCAACAUACUGGAUAUGAGGUGCAAAGGUGAAGUCAGGCUGAAAUAUAACACUAAGACAGUUAGCUUGCAAGGACAGACUGAUCCAGGUUCUAUCAAUGUGCAUGGAAACCGAAAGAGGAGGAUCAGAUUUAUGAGAAGGAAAAUUAAGAAGCUCCAUUUUAGAGAGAUUGCAUUUCAGAAAGCGGGAGGACAUCCAGUCAGAGAUUGAAGAAAGGCAAGCUGUGACACAUUGUAAGACAGCAGCAGAGAGAUAUAUCUGGGUGUCAUUGGCGUAUAGGUGGUAGCGAAAUCCAAAGGAAUUUGAGUUUGCCAAGAGAUGCAGUAUAAAUCUGUUAUUUGGUGGACUGCAACUGAGACAGGAUGAGGGGAGGAAGUGUCAUUGGAAAAGGAGACACUGAAUGAAUGUUGGGAGAACCAUGAGAAGACAAUGUCACAGAGACAGAGGGAUUGAAGAGUUUGGAGAAGGAGAACAUGAUCGCCCGUGUCAAAGACCGCAGAGAGGUCAAGAAAUAUUUAUAUGGAAGAGCAGCAUUUGGAUUUAGCUCUGAUUAGUUCUGCGGAAGCCAGGAGAGGGUCGAGGAGAGCAUUGGAUGGCGACAAAAAGAAGUAGGGAAAUCAACAUUUGCGUUAAGUGUAGGGAAGAGUUAAGCAAACCAUAACUUCACUGCCCAUACAUUUAGAAUUAUUUGCCGUAUUUAACUACCAUAAGUUAUGACCAGUAUAAUAGCCAUUUAUAAUGACCUUUUUCAUUUGGCAACAACAUUUCUGAUAUUCAUCAUUGUGCAAAGUACUCUAACAACUUUCAGUUGUAACUUUGAAAUUUCAGUGGCUGCAUACCUAAACAAAUGCCUCAUGAUUAAAUAGUAAUAUAGGCG